rfam:Edwardsiella ictaluri 93-146, complete genome.
AUUCCAAUUGAGGUCAACUUACCUGAUAAUAACGCCCCGUUUGGCAACGGGAAUCAGGAGAUCUCAUGUUC